UCGUAGUAGCACUAACCAGGAGGUCUAGAAGGAGUCAUAGUUCCACUAAUCAGGAGGUCUAGAAGGAGUCAUAGUUCCACUAAUCAGGAGGUGUAGAAGGAGUCAUAGUUCCACUAAUCAGGAGGUCUAGAAGGAGUCAUAGUUCCACUAAUCAGGAGGUGUAGAAGGAGUCAUAGUACCACUAAUCAGGAGGUCUAGAAGGAGUCAUAGUUCCACUAAUCAGGAGGUCUAGAAGGAGUCAUAGUUCCACUAAUCAGGAGGUCUAGAAGGAGUCAUAGUUCCACUAAUCAGGAGGUCUAGAAGGAGUCAUAGUUCCACUAACCAGGAGGUCUAGAAGGAGUCAUAGUUCCACUAAUCAGGAGGUCUAGAAGGAGUCAUAGUUCCACUAAUCAGGAGGUCUAGAAGGAGUCAUAGUACCACUAAUCAGGAGGUCUAGAAGGAGUCAUAGUACCACUAAUCAGGAGGUCUGGAAGGAGUCAUAGUUCCACUAAUCAGGAGGUCUAGAAGGAGUCAUAGUACCACUAAUCAGGAGGUCUAGAAGGAGUCAUAGUACCACUAAUCAGGAGGUCUGGAAGGAGUCAUAGUUC